CUGCCAGCUCCCGAGCAGGAAGAGCAGAGAGCCAAAGCCCCAUUGGUGGGGCGUCUUGUCGAAUGUGUAACCUGCUCCCGGAUUGGUAGGCUGCCUUGCGGCAUGUUGCCAUUCCCGAGGUCUUUCGCUGGCUGUGGCGAUAGUAGGGCGAGGCGACGACCAGAGCCGGAAUAGCUCGUACUAAAAGUAGCAUCUGAAAGAGUGAGUGGGAAACGGAAUUUAUGUGCACUAAGUCUUUAAAACCUACAAAGACUGUUAAAGUAUCCUACUACUGGGAUCUUCUGAUGUAAGUCACUUCUCUGAAUCGUUCCUUUUGGAUGCCUACCUCUCGCUUUCAUCUGCUGCCUUCUCUGCCUCCUCCAGUUUCUGCAGGGCUGUCGCCAGACGUUCUUGGGCACGAUCCAGCUCCUCUUCCACCAGCUGAAUACGCCGAUUCAAAGCUGCCACUUCACCUUCUGCCUAUGCAAAACAAUCAAACAGCACUGGUUAAUAGCUAGACACCAAUAAUUCAAAACUGAUCACCUCUGAUUACUUCAUUUUUCACUAUUUAUAUGCAUGGAAUUCUAGGAAGAGAUUUUUUUAGCUAUAUAACUAUAGGAAUUUGAAUGUUUGGUUUUUUU